rnacentral:lncRNA from 1 species
AGAGGAGAGGAGAGGAGAGGAGAGGAGAGGAGAGGAGAGUCUUGCUAUGGGGGACUGUUUCACUGGAGAACCGUAAGAACUCUACAAGUAGGCAAAAUACAAACGCGCAGGAGAAAGACAUCUGAGAACACUUAGCUGGCCUCACUGAUAGAAAUGAUUGUGGGGAGAGGGGUUAAAUAGAUCCCAGAGAACAAGGAAAGAUGUGGAACGUUACUUGGGUAAUUGGAGUGCUGGGUAGCAAAUACUGGAGGCAAAUCCACGUCUCCUAAGAGACCUGGCGACGUCUGGGGAAUGCAGUCCCUGCUUUAGCAUUGCUCUUUUUAAAAAGUAAGGCAGCUGGAAAGCAUCAGGCAGCGAAGAAGGGACAGAUUUGGUGACACAGCUUCUGAGGGGGUACGGGAGAAGGAGGAGCACACGGAAGGGAGAUGGACUCCCUGCAUGUAACUCACCCCGCUGAGAAGGAGAGCCGCAGCCUUCUCCACGCAGACAAAAGAUGGCGAAGAGCCCGUGGUACCAAGCUGAACAGCAGCAGGCACCGAGGGACAAGGUCUCUGUGGCCACUUCUCCAGCCCAGCCACAGCUCUUCCCUCUCUGCAGGUCCAGCACGACCAACAAGAGCAAUGCAAAGUUUCAAUGGAGGAUCCAGCACUAACCUAACACCAAAACAAUCCAGGUGUGUGUCUUCAGCAGCAUGAGACUGAGAUGCCCUCCCCCUCCAACAGCAUGGCCACUAAAAUACACAGGCUAAAGGAGGCUGCACCUCACUACCUAAGUCACUGAUGGGGAAGGAUGUAUUGAUGCGCCACUACGUUCCUACCAGCAUUCCUAUCACCUUUGAGAAAUGCGACUCAUAACUUAGCUUAAUCACUGAUCAUUAGCCUCCGAGUCCAACAACACCUCAAAAAUCCCACGGGGAUGUACUUAGUGAGCCAUAAUCAUUUGUGGCAUUACACAGUCUUUGCAACAGACUUCUGUGUUGUUUCCUUGGACUUUGGUACAUAUAUUCUGACAAAGUAACGUUUUAGUAGGCUAAGUAAGUUCUCUAGUCCUCAUGGAUCAGGCCUUAAACCUGCUGACACAAACUCGUUUACCUCCGCAUAAAUAAUUUUAACAAAGCAACGAGAGUUUUAGGCCAAGGAGUUCAUAAAUCUGCAUGAGUCAACACACUUCGCAAGAACAUUCUUGAUGACAAACUCAAGCCAAUUGAGCAGUUAUAGAAAACAAUUUCUGCAAGAAGUUCUGCAAGGGAAAAUAUCUUACAGGAACAUAAUUUAAUUGAUUUCUGUAAGUGCUGUAAAUAGUCUGUAAAAUAACAUAAUAAAUACAAUCC